CUCCCUCCCAAAAGACCGAAACGCUCCGCCCGUAAUUUCUGCCGCCGACGCGGCCUACCGACGCCAUCUCCUCCCCCUCUCCUCUCCUCUCUCUUAGCCCGUGACCCCUCCCCCGCCGCCGCCGUCUCCCUUCGUCUCCCUCUCCUGUGCAGCCCCGUCGCGCCAUCCACCAUGCGCGCCCGUGAUCUGCUCCGCUCUCCCCUCCGCUGGCCGUCGCACGACUCCGGGUGGCGGCGGGAGGAGGAGACCUUGGCAGCAGGCAGACGCCUCCCUCCGCAUCUCCGCUCCGCUCUCUCCCCCUUAGAAGUUAGACCACCUCCACCGCCGUCGCACGCCGCAUCGCCUCUCCGAUCUCUCCCUGGCGGUUACGAAUCGAUCCCAGCCAGAGGCGACCAGGUCGGAACUCGGAAGCAGUGGCAGAUGGUGCUGGGCCUGCAAUGGCAAGUGUUCUCUAAUAAGAUCAUGGUGAUAUGGACCAAAGUUGGGGAGAUCAACACUUUGUCCGUUUCUAUGGCCGCAAACGCCGGCAACAGAAUAUGUGCAAAGAACCGGAAUCAAGCUGCAGGGAUAAAGCUCCAUCCUUAAGUGUGAUUGAGCAGGUACACUACUGAGGUUCUGGGGGUAAAGGUUAUGUUAUGUUAUAUUUCUUUCAAAAUUAAGUUUUUUGUGCUUCAUUUGUUUGGCUAAUAUAUUUUAGCAAUUUACAUGGUGCAGAUUUCUAUCUUCAGUACAUUCUCAGAUUGUGAUUUCACUAUAUACAUAUUGCAGAUCUGCCAAAUUGUUUACCACAGAGAUUGCUUUUGUGUUUUCCUAGCAUGUUUGUAUUGUAGGAAAACACGAUGUUGCUAACCGUGAGAAUUCCGCUUAACUCAGUCCCCUGUUUUGGUUAAGAAAAUUUGUGACCAAGAUCUUUGGCCAAGGUCAGUUUGGAUCCAGUUAUGCCUCUCUUAUCUUGAUUCUUGAACAAUAGAAGACUUUUAGUGAUGCAUAGUUAAGAAUUUCCGACUUGCUUUUAUAACCUAACACAUGUAUAUAAGCUUUUUAGGAAUAGUAGGAUAGCUGAUGCAAGUAUACAGGAGACUUAAAAAUCACUGGUUGUCACUGAAUUUUAACUAAACCUCAUAGAUCCUAGGGAGAAAAGGGUUAAUUGCAUAGACAUAUGCAGCAUUGGCAGUUGGGUUGCAUCUUCUUUGGCGGUUGGGGUAAGCUGGCCCCCAUCCUCUCUGUUCCACCCCCUACAAGUACAAAGAUCAAAACGGACUUGGUGAUGGUGAUUGUAUUGACCACCAAGCAGGUUCAUGGUAUUAGCCAAUUAAUUAUUGAAAUUGGAAAAAAGAAUUCAUGUGUAGUAUCAUUGGGCAUUAGGAAAUUCCUCCACCAUUACAGUUGUUGCUCGGAUGCAGUACUCCUUCCUGUGAUCCUGUCUUCCCCGCCUCAUUGUAAGUGGAUAAUUAAUGAGCAGGCUGUCAAUGUCAUAAAUAGGAUUUUCCCUUGCCAAUAAUAUUGGUGGAGAACAGUGGAAGGUGCAAAACUAAUGAGCAUGGGGAGAAGGUUUGACUAUAUCACCAACUGCAAGGAAGUGUGCUGGGAUGCAGCAUUCAGAUCCUUUUCUGCCCAUUGUCAAAUGGGAUGGCAAGCCAGUUGGUGAUGAAUGACAAAAAAUGCUUUUGCACUGUUUAACAUGCUUUGCGAAGGCAUGAGGACUGGUCCAGAUAGGGUUCUUGUUACUUAUGAUCAUACUUGAGCUAGACAAUGACUCCUGAAACUUUGGUAGGUCUUUUCUGUAUAAUUAUAUCCUUCCAUUUAGGUCAGAUUUGUCUCCGGUGAUUAAUAUAGUAUAAAAUAAUCAAAACGCUUCUCCUUGUAAUAUGAAGUUUGGUUUGUAUUAUUUGUAGGUAAUAAGUUUUGUUUGUAUUCCUAAGAUACAAAAGUUGUGAUUUUAUAUUUUGGAGGCUAUAUAAUUAGCAACAAUAUAAUAACUCUCUCCGUAGUUUUUUUCCUAAAUAUUAAAUUUAUCUUAUUAGAUACU